rnacentral:rRNA from 1 species
GAUGAACGCUGGCGGCGUGCCUAAUACAUGCAAGUCGAGCGAACGGACGAGAAGCUUGCUUCUCUGAUGUUAACGGCGGACGGGUGAGUAACACGUGGAUAACCUCCCUAUAAGACUGGGAUAACUUCGGGAAACCGGAGCUAAUACCGGAUAAUAUUUUGAACAGCAUGGUUCAAAAGUGAAAGACGGUCUUGCUGUCACUUAUAGAUGGAUCCGCGCUGCAUUAGCUAGUUGGUAAGGUAACGGCUUACCAAGGCAACGAUGCAUAGCCGACCUGAGAGGGUGAUCGGCCACACUGGAACUGAGACACGGUCCAGACGCCUACGGGAGGCAGCAGUAGGGAAUCUUCCGCAAUGGGCGAAAGCCUGACGGAGCAACGCCGCGUGAGUGAUGAAGGUCUUCGGAUCGUAAAACUCUGUUAUUAGGGAAGAACAUAUGUGUAAGUAACUGUGCACAUCUUGACGGUACCUAAUCAGAAAGCCACGGCUAACUACGUG